UUCCCAUGUCAAACGGCGCGCGGCCUUCCGCUGAGCAUUGUGGUCUGCCAGAAGACGCGGCCAGAAGCCGCGGCCAGAAGACGCGGGGUGUGGGCCAAUGGGAGCGCAGGGCGGCCGGCGGCAGCAGGCACGCAGCGGGACUCGGGAGCGGUGACAGGCUAUUGCUCGGCGCUCCCUCGGCCAGAACACUCCUACCGCUCCCUCACACAAUACCGCCAGAAUGUCAUCAGGCU